GGCUUGUUAUCAACCAUUUUGAAGUCCAAGAAACGGGCGACAACAAAUUUCUUUGUUCCCGCAUCCUCCGUUUUGUACUUUUUCUCCAAGGACUCCCAUAAUUCUUUGGAAGUCUUGAUAUUAUAGUACACAUUAUACAAAGCAUCCGAUAGACCGUUGAGUACAUAGCCUCGACAUAUGAAAUCCGAAUGCUUCCACGCAUCUACCGCGCUCAGAGCCUGAGCGUCGGUCUCCCCUUCCGCAGGUUGGGGAGCGGUUUCCGUCAAGAACCUCGCAAGGUUCAUGGUGGUCAAGUAGAAGAACAUCUUCUGUUGCCACCGCUUGAAGUGUAGACCCGAGAACUUCUCAGGUCUUUCAGCAUGAUUUGCCACUGUGGACGCUCCCACAGUGUUGGCAGGGGUUCCAACUACAACAUUCGUAUUGUUUCAAAAAAUUCUGAUUUACGCACAAACCAGAAGGAAACUACUAAAUUUUAAUUUUACCACAAUUUACUGUUUUGGCUUCUAAGUCCAACUUUGAAGACCAAAAAACAGAAAUUUUAUAAAUUUUAGAACUUACUGAUUGGCUUCUAAGUCCAACUUUGAAGACCAAAUCAGAAAGUUUUAGCAAAUUUAGGACAAGUUUAAAUGUAACCAAAAAUAGUUUUCAACCAAAGUCGCUCCUUUGAAGAUGAAAACUAAAAAAAAUCUGUUUUUAAAACACAAACUGAGUGAAAUCAAAACUGGUUUGAAUCACAAACAGAAAGGUUUUGAUUACACGAACGGUUUUAAAAAUUUGUUUUAAGAUUGUAGGAACCGUUCGCAUAAAUUAAAUAAAAUAAACAAAUUUUAUUACU
rnacentral:lncRNA from 1 species